AUUGUGUCAGAGCACAAUACCAGGACUAAGUGCACUGAAUGCAAAUUAAUCUUGUGGGAUGGCAGCAGCUCAAUAGAGUGCGGUUUUGGGGGAAAGCAGGGGAGCAAAGGGAGGGACAGAAGGAGGGCUAAUAGCGGCGACAGAGAGGAGAAGGAGAGAAAAGAGCAUGUGAGGAGGAGGAGGAGGAGGAGGAGGAGGGCUGUGGGAUGUAGUCAUCGCCGGGCCCAUUCAUCAUGCAAUGCCUGCUGGGAUGCGCUGGGGUCAGUCCUGCACAACACAAUUACAGCCUGUUCUGGUGUGCUGUGUUCCGACUGUUCUCUUGUCUUCUGUUGGGUUCCCUCUGUUCUACCUUCUCCGGCUUUCUCUUUCUUUCCUUACACAUUUCCGAAGUCGCCGCUCGAGCUUUCCCCAAACGAAUUGCGGCAGUUCUUUUGAGCAAAAUGUCUCAAUUAGCUGAACAUUUUUUUUCUUUCUUUUUCUUUGAGUGUUGAACUCUCUCUUUUUUGUCUUUUGCAGUUCAUUGCCACAAGUUUCACGCUGCUCAUGUGAUGCAGCCUCAUUCCGCGGCGUUGUGUCAUCCACUGCGCAGCCGUGUUCUUUCAUCGGCGUCCGAGUCGCUUGGUUCUUGUGAUCGACAGGCCGGGUUAGCAUGGGCGAGUGCGAUUCUGAGGGAAAGCUGUUUGUAGUCCCGACUGAUGGGGGGCGCCCCGGGCCACCGGCGUGCGAUGAAACAGAAGGCUGAGCUUCAAAACCUUGCUGCUGGAUAAUCGAGAGCAAUGAAUUAGUGUAAUGUCUUCUCACGUGACCUAAAAGCCAUCUUUUGCUGCUCGGGGAGGGGGGGGCGGCUCUAAGGUGGAGCUCGAAAAACGAUGCCGACCGCUCCGGUCUGAAGAAUCCAAGAAUAUAUUAAGAUUAUGUUGUGUGCAGUCACGGUGUAUUAUGCCGAGUCAUAAUGUUUACUUUCCUUUUUUCCUUCCCAAAUCCACAUCCAUCGCCAAUGACACCCACAGCGCUCACGCCCCGUAUCCGCC
ensembl:lncRNA